rnacentral:rRNA from 1 species
UACAGAGGGUGCGAGCGUUGUCCGGAAUCACUGGGCGUAAAGGGCGCGUAGGUGGCGACCCAAGUCUGUGGUGAAAGCUCGCCGCUUAACGGCGAGUCGGCCACGGAUACUGGGUGACUCGAGCACUGUAGGGGCAGAUGGAAUUCCGGGUGUAGCGGUGGAAUGCGUAGAGAUCCGGAAGAACACCGGUGGCGAAGGCGGUCUGCUGGGCAGUAGCUGACACUGAGGCGCGACAGCGUGGGGAGCAAACAGG